AAUAAUGUGUGACCUUCUUGGGUUUGGCCCAAGGUAUUCUCUUUUUUGUACCCUAUUCAUGCUAAAGGGGCAUCCUCGAGAAAGGAGCUAAUGGUACUUCAUUUCUCGAGGUGGCUGCCAAUUCAUCAUGGGGUUGCCCUCUUUAGUUUAUAUAUGGAAAAAGAGAUUCUUUUUAUUUUUACUAAUCAUCCUUAGGGCUUCAGCUACAUUUUGGUGUGAGCCCAGGUUAGCUCUAAAUAAGAAUCCUCGUAUCAACCCCAAGG
rnacentral:lncRNA from 1 species